AUUGAACGCUGGCGGCAUGCCUUACACAUGCAAGUCGAACGGCAGCGCGGGAGCAAUCCUGGCGGCGAGUGGCGAACGGGUGAGUAAUACAUCGGAACGUGCCCAAUCGUGGGGGAUAACGCAGCGAAAGCUGUGCUAAUACCGCAUACGAUCUACGGAUGAAAGCAGGGGAUCGCAAGACCUUGCGCGAAUGGAGCGGCCGAUGGCAGAUUAGGUAGUUGGUGAGGUAAAGGCUCACCAAGCCUUCGAUCUGUAGCUGGUCUGAGAGAACGACCAGCCACACUGGGACUGAGACACGGCCCAGACUCCUACGGGAGGCAGCAGUGGGGAAUUUUGGACAAUGGGCGAAAGCCUGAUCCAGCCAUGCCGCGUGCAGGAUGAAGGCCUUCGGGUUGUAAACUGCUUUUGUACGGAACGAAACGGUCUUUUCUAAUAAAGAAGGCUAAUGACGGUACCGUAAGAAUAAGCACCGGCUAACUACGUG
rnacentral:rRNA from 1 species